rnacentral:rRNA from 1 species
AACGAACGCUGGCGGCAGGCUUAACACAUGCAAGUCGAACGCAUCCUUCGGGGUGAGUGGCAGACGGGUGAGUAACGCGUGGGAACGUGCCCUUCAGUUCGGGAUAACCCAGGGAAACUUGGGCUAAUACCGGAUACGUGCGAGAGCAGAAAGAUUUAUCGCUGAAGGAUCGGCCCGCGUCUGAUUAGCUAGUUGGUGGGGUAAUGGCCCACCAAGGCGACGAUCAGUAGCUGGUCUGAGAGGAUGAUCAGCCACAUUGGGACUGAGACACGGCCCAAACUCCUACGGGGGGCAGCAGUGGGGAAUAUUGGACAAUGGGCGCAAGCCUGAUCCAGCCAUGGCGCGGGAGUGAUGAAGGCCCUAGGGUUGUAAAGCUCUUUCGUCCGGGACGAUAAUGACGGUACCGGGAGAAGAAGCCCCGGCUAACUUCGUGCCAGCAGCCGCGGUAACAC